rnacentral:rRNA from 1 species
GAUGAACGCUGGCGGCGUGCCUAAUACAUGCAAGUCGAGCGAACAGACGAGGAGCUUGCUCCUCUGACGUUAGCGGCGGACGGGUGAGUAACACGUGGAUAACCUACCUAUAAGACUGGGAUAACUUCGGGAAACCGGAGCUAAUACCGGAUAAUAUAUUGAACCGCAUGGUUCAUUAGUGAAAGACGGUUUUGCUGUCACAUAUAGAUGGAUCCGCGUCGCAUUAGCUAGUUGGUAAGGUAACGGCUUACCAAGGCAACGAUCCGUAGCCGACCGGAGAGGGUGAUCGGCCACACUGGAACUGAGACACGGUCCAGACUCCUACGGGAGGCAGCAGUAGGGAAUCUUCCGCAAUGGGCGAAAGCCUGACGGAGCAACGCCGCGUGAGUGAUGAAGGUCUUCGGAUCGUAAAACUCUUUUAUUAGGGAAGAACAAAUGUGGAAGUAACUAUGCACGUCUUGACGGUACCUAAUCAGAAAGCCACGGCUAACUACGUG